GACGAACGCUGGCGGCGUGCUUAACACAUGCAAGUCGAACGGAAAGGCCCUGCUUUUGUGGGGUGCUCGAGUGGCGAACGGGUGAGUAACACGUGAGUAACCUGCCCUUGACUUUGGGAUAACUUCAGGAAACUGGGGCUAAUACCGGAUAGGAGCUCCUGCUGCAUGGUGGGGGUUGGAAAGUUUCGGCGGUCGGGGAUGGACUCGCGGCUUAUCAGCUUGUUGGUGGGGUAGUGGCUUACCAAGGCUUUGACGGGUAGCCGGCCUGAGAGGGUGACCGGCCACAUUGGGUCUGAGAUACGGCCCAGACUCCUACGGGAGGCAGCAGUGGGGAAUAUUGCACAAUGGGCGGAAGCCUGAUGCAGCAACGCCGCGUGCGGGAUGACGGCCUUCGGGUUGUAAACCGCUUUCGCCUGUGACGAAGCGUGAGUGACGGUAAUGGGUAAAGAAGCACCGGCUAACUACGUG
rnacentral:rRNA from 1 species